AUAGAUUAUCUCUUUGCUUGAAGGAUUUGUAUUAUCUGUACGGUUUUGUGACCUGUCCAGAUGUGAAGCAGAAGUGUUUGGGUGAUUUUCUGGACUGGUGUCUGACCACCAUCUCUCAGACCAGUGAAAUGACCAUGGAGGGAACUGUGCCUCUUGAUGGAGCUUUGCAAUCCCUGGUGACCCUCCAAUCACAUGCAGGACUGUAUUAUCAGAAUAUUGUCAUCAAGUUGAUGGCUUCUUAACUACCGGUAGUUAUUUUUAUAGUUUUUGUUCCGGGUGUAAAUGGGCCUAUAGGCCUGUAAUUACUGCGCUUGUUUAGUAGCUGCACACAUAUUUGCAGGCGAUGCCUGCCAAAGCCUUGAGAGGCAACGGUUACUGUACAUUCCCUCCCACCUGUAUUUUUCACUGCUUUGUUAAAACGCUGAUAAUCGCUAAUUUUAGUGACUGAUCUUUAUCAGAAUUAUUUUCAUUACAGUGAAACAUCCUGCAUGGUUUGAAGUCCAGAGAGCUGUGAAAACGAUCCUAGUGUUAUUCUUUUGUGAAGCGCUUCUCUAUCACCCGAGGCACUCAAAACUGGCUCUGUGUGUUGAGAAUGCCUGCGGUGCUAAAACUGCCAUCAGUGUUUUGCAUAUAUGCUUUAAGUGCCACAAGGCUGUGAGCAGGAACAUGUGCGGUGUGCUUUUAAACUUGAUAAAAACAUGAGACUGCUACUGGCACUAAGAUUAACAGGAUUCAGACACAUCAAAAGUUGGUUUGAUAAAUUUGACUUAACAUCAACCUGAUGAUACAGUAUAUAGGUAAUGUAUUGCUCAGAAGAUUUUGGAUAGUAUUGUGUUUCCCAGCCAGGGCCCAGCUCUUCAAGCAUGGGAAAUGUGAUGAUUUCCUGCAAUAUGGUGUGCGCAUAUCCUUUAGGUCUUUCUUUGGUCUCAGAAUGUAGACAAAUGUUUACUAAUCUUUCCCUGACUGUUCAAAAUCCCAACAGUGCUUCAGUGCCUCAAUCAGAAGAGAAUAGCUGAGAGUAACCAGGCCACAUUGUGUAAGCUAGGUGUAAAAGUUGUCCAGAGAAUUGGCUUGACUUUUCCAAAACCAAGUUUGGCCGAAUGGAGGUAAUUGAGGAGCGACUUAUUGACAAAAUAUGAUGAAAUGAAGCAAAGGAUGCUUAAAUGUAUUAGCUAGUUUGUAAGCAUUUUGUAUGACU
ensembl:lncRNA